UACGGAGGGGGCUAGCGUUGUUCGGAAUUACUGGGCGUAAAGCGCACGUAGGCGGCUUUGUAAGUUAGAGGUGAAAGCCCAGGGCUUAACCCUGGAAUUGCCUUUAAGACUGCAUAGCUAGAGUACGGUAGAGGGGGGAUGGAAUUCCGCGUGUAGCAGUGAAAUGCGUAGAUAUGCGGAGGAACACCGAUGGCGAAGGCAAUCCCCUGGACCUGUACUGACGCUCAUGCACGAAAGGCGUGGGGAGCAAACGAGG
rnacentral:rRNA from 1 species